rnacentral:rRNA from 1 species
GUGGGGAAUCUUAGACAAUGGGGGAAACCCUGAUCUAGCCAUGCCGCGUGAGCGAUGAAGGCCUUAGGGUUGUAAAGCUCUUUCAGCUGGGAAGAUAAUGACUGUACCAGCAGAAGAAGCCCCGGCUAACUCCGUGCCAGCAGCCGCGGUAAUACGGAGGGGGCUAGCGUUGUUCGGAAUUACUGGGCGUAAAGCGCACGUAGGCGGACCGGAAAGUCAGUGGUGAAAUCCCAGGGCUCAACCUUGGAACUGCCUUUGAAACUCCUGGUCUUGAGGUCGAGAGAGGUGAGUGGAAUUCCGAGUGUAGAGGUGAAAUUCGUAGAUAUGCGGAGGAACACCAGUGGCGAAGGCGGCUCACUGGCUCGAUACUGACGCUGAGGUGCGAAAGCGUGGGGAGCAAACAGGAUUAGAAACCCGAGUAGUCC